rnacentral:tRNA from 1 species
AUAAGAAUAGUUUAGGACAGUCAAAGUGAUUGCAAUUUUGGGUAUUGUAGGUUUUGUUCCUUUA